rnacentral:rRNA from 1 species
UUUAAAUUUAGAGUUUGAUCCUGGCUCAGGACGAACGCUGGCGGCGUGCUUAACACAUGCAAGUCGAGCGAUGAAGCUUCCUUCGGGAAGUGGAUUAGCGGCGGACGGGUGAGUAACACGUGGGUAACCUGCCUCAAAGUGGGGGAUAGCCUUCCGAAAGGAAGAUUAAUACCGCAUAAUAUAAGAGAAUCGCAUGAUUUUCUUAUCAAAGAUUUAUUGCUUUGAGAUGGACCCGCGGCGCAUUAGCUAGUUGGUAAGGUAACGGCUUACCAAGGCAACGAUGCGUAGCCGACCUGAGAGGGUGAUCGGCCACAUUGGAACUGAGACACGGUCCAGACUCCUACGGGAGGCAGCAGUGGGGAAUAUUGCGCAAUGGGGGAAACCCUGACGCAGCAACGCCGCGUGGGUGAUGAAGGUCUUCGGAUUGUAAAGCCCUGUUUUCUAGGACGAUAAUGACGGUACUAGAGGAGGAAGCCACGGCUAACUACGUGCCAGCAGCCGCGGUAAUACGUAGGUGGCGAGCGUUGUCCGGAUUUACUGGGCGUAAAGGGUGCGUAGGCGGAUGUUUAAGUGGGAUGUGAAAUCCCCGGGCUUAACCUGGGGGCUGCAUUCCAAACUGGAUAUCUAGAGUGCAGGAGAGGAAAGCGGAAUUCCUAGUGUAGCGGUGAAAUGCGUAGAGAUUAGGAAGAACACCAGUGGCGAAGGCGGCUUUCUGGACUGUAACUGACGCUGAGGCACGAAAGCGUGGGUAGCAAACAGGAUUAGAUACCCUGGUAGUCCACGCCGUAAACGAUGGAUACUAGGUGUAGGGGGUAUCAACUCCCCCUGUGCCGCAGUUAACACAAUAAGUAUCCCGCCUGGGGAGUACGGUCGCAAGAUUAAAACUCAAAGGAAUUGACGGGGGCCCGCACAAGCAGCGGAGCAUGUGGUUUAAUUCGAAGCAACGCGAAGAACCUUACCUGGACUUGACAUCCCUUGCAUAGCCUAGAGAUAGGUGAAGCCCUUCGGGGCAAGGAGACAGGUGGUGCAUGGUUGUCGUCAGCUCGUGUCGUGAGAUGUUAGGUUAAGUCCUGCAACGAGCGCAACCCUUGUUAUUAGUUGCUACCAUUAAGUUGAGCACUCUAAUGAGACUGCCUGGGUAACCAGGAGGAAGGUGGGGAUGACGUCAAAUCAUCAUGCCCCUUAUGUCCAGGGCUACACACGUGCUACAAUGGUAGGUACAAUAAGA